GAGGUAGGGGUGGGGAGUGAAUGAAAGCUCAUAGCUGAUAAGGAAAUUCCAGUCAUUCUUAUCAGCUCUGUAUAGAUAACACAGAAUAUAAAGGGGAAUCCCCUCCUCCUGAAGUGGAAUCCCACAACUCUUCUCCAACAAUGAAGAAGUAGAUGAAGAGGUAGGGGUGGGGAGUGAAUGAAAGCUCAUAGCUGAUAAGGAAAUUCCAGUCAUUCUUAUCAGCUCUGUACAG